CUGAAAUUCAGCUGCACAAAGUUUAAAACUGUUUCUCUGUUUUCUCACCAUGUUUAAAACAGAAAUGAUGAUUAUUCUGUGACUGAAUUCACACGUGGAAGUAAGUUUUCAUUUUUCCUAAUGCACCUGAAGGCAGCUCACGUAGCUGUCCAGACCUCUGUUCCCUCCCUGUUAAGGAAACUUUUUAAUGAAACUGUUUUCUUACAAAACUACAAAAAUAUAAGACAGCUGCCUCUGAUCAGUCUUUGAGUAAUUCUUCCUAAAUCCACCAGAGGGCAGCAUCCCUCCAAUGAUCAGUCAGCAGAGUUUAAACACAGCAGGUCCAAGCAGAGAGGUUGAAAUAGGACAGAUCCACGAUCAGAGAGAUCAGCUGUGGACUCACCUGUGUGAAAUAAAGGUUGGAAAGGUUAAUAAAACAACAGUUAUAUUAAAACAUCUUCAGUUUUUCUGUUGCAG